GCGACCGAUCAGGUUGUUGGUGAGGUAAUGACUCACCAAGCCUUUUACCGGUGCGGGCCGUGAGAGCGGGAGCCCGGAGAUGGGCACUGAGACAAGGGCCCAGGCCCUACGGGGCGCAGCAGUCGCGAAAACUUUGCAAUACACGAAAGUGUGACAGGGCUAUCCCGAGUGCCAUCCGCUGAGGAAGGCUUUUACCCAGUCUAGAACGCUGGGGGAAUAAGGAGAGGGCAAGUCUGGUGUCAGCCGCCGCGGUAAUACCAGCUCUCCGAGUGGUGUGGAUGUUUAUUGGGCCUAAAGCAUCCGUAGCUGGCUGAGUUAGUCCCUUGUUAAAUCCACCGAAUUAAUCGUUGGAUUGCGGGGGAUACUGCUCGGCUAGGGGACGAGAGAGGCAGACGGUAUUUCUGGGGUAGGGGUGAAAUCCUAUAAUCCCAGGAGGACCACCAGUGGCGAAGGCUGUCUGCUAGAACGCGCCCGACGGUGAGGGAUGAAAGCUGGGGGAGCGAACCGGAUUAGAUACCCGGGUAGUCCCAGCUGUAAACGAUGCAGACUAGGUGUUUGGACGGCCACGUGCCGUUCUAGUGCCGCAGGGAAGCUGUUAAGUCUGCCGCCUGGGGAGUACGAUCGCAAGAUUGAAACUUAAAGGAAUUGGCGGGGGAGCACCACAAGGGGUGAAGCUUGC
rnacentral:rRNA from 1 species